UACAGAGGGUGCAAGCGUUAAUCGGAAUUACUGGGCGUAAAGCGUGCGCAGACGGUUGUGUAAGUCAGAUGUGAAAGCCCCGGGCUCAACCUGGGAAUUGCAUUUGAAACUGUAUAGCUAGGGUACGGAAGAGGGAGGCGGAAUUUCAGGUGUAGCGGUGAAAUGCGUAGAUAUCUGAAGGAACACCAGUGGCGAAAGCGGCCUCCUGGUCCAGUACCGACGUUCAGGCACGAAAGCGUGGGGAGCAAACAGG
rnacentral:rRNA from 1 species